rnacentral:rRNA from 1 species
GACGAACGCUGGCGGCGUGCUUAACACAUGCAAGUCGAGCGGUAAGGCUCCUUCGGGAGUACACGAGCGGCGAACGGGUGAGUAACACGUGAGCAAUCUGCCCUUCACUUUGGGAUAACUCCGGGAAACCGGUGCUAAUACCGAAUGCGACCACUUCAGGCAUCUGACGGUGGUGGAAAGUUCCGGCGGUGAAGGAUGAGCUCGCGGCCUAUCAGCUUGUUGGUGAGGUAAUGGCUCGCCAAGGCUUCGACGGGUAGCCGGCCUGAGAGGGUGACCGGCCACACUGGGACUGAGACACGGCCCAGACUCCUACGGGAGGCAGCAGUGGGGAAUAUUGGACAAUGGGCGAAAGCCUGAUCCAGCAACGCCGCGUGAGGGAUGACGGCCUUCGGUUGUAACCGUCUUUCAGCAGGGACGAAGCGAAAGUGACGGUACCUGCAAAAGAAGCACCGGCCAACUACGUGCCAGCAGCCGCGGUAAAGUACGUCUAAU